GAGCGGAGAAAAGAAAGAAGAAGAGGAAGCGUGAUGAAACUCAGGCGUCGCUUGCCGGGUCAAUGCUUAAAUAUGUUCAAGGAGGAUCUCAAGGACAGGAUGAACCAUCCAGUAGUAGUGCCAUCCCUGGACAUCAACCACCAGCCAUUGUAGACCCUGCAACAAUCCCUAGCCAAGAAGAACAAGAACCAUCAACCACCAGUUCAGGAGAGGUUUGAGACCAUGAAUCAAGUGAAGGAGAAAUAUGGAGUGCUGCUUGAUUUCAGCAAAGUGAAUGGGAUGUCCAAGGAGGAUUUAAAAAAACACUGCACUGAAGUACAGAAGACACUGACAGAUAAGGGAGUAGCUGACAUUGAUGGACCUGAGAUGAUGCAGGAAAUCAUCAACCUUCCUCAGCUGCCACCACAGACGUCUGCUUUGGAAAUGCUGUCAUUU
ensembl:lncRNA